rnacentral:rRNA from 1 species
UACGUAGGGGGCAAGCGUUGUCCGGAAUUAUUGGGCGUAAAGAGCGUGUAGGCGGCCUUACAGGUCAGCUGUGAAAACUCGAGGCUCAACCUCGAGACGUCGGUUGAAACCGUAUGGCUAGAGUCCGGAAGAGGAGAGUGGAAUUCCCGGUGUAGCGGUGAAAUGACGCAGAUAUCGGGAAGAACACCCGUGGCGAAGGCGGCUCUCUGGGACGGUACUGGACGCU